CAAAACAUUUAACGGAUGUUGUGCAGGGACAGUUAGGGCAUUACUCCUGAGUGUAUUUAGUUGAGAAACUGGACACCUGCAGGAUCGGAAUUUCAGAGGUGACAUUCAGUCGUGGUGGUGAUGGAUAUGUAGUGUAUCCCUGUUGGCAAUUUGGUGAAUAGGUGACUGCUAGGGUGGGUGGAGCUAGCGGCAAGUUUUUCAGCUCUUUUCUUCGCUCUGGUGACGAACAGAUCAUGAAACGUCGGCAGCUGACAGCCAAUGAUCUUCCCGCUGAGCGGACCACUCUCUGGACUUGGUGAGGGAGGAGGCGGUGAGAAACCAAACUAUGAUAGAGGUGGGCAGAACACUCUCAAUGAUGGCGGAGUAAAAAUUGAUCAGGAUACACCCUAAGACGGCACAGCAGAUGCUGUAAUCUGGAAGGGAAAAAUAACCCACUGAGCAACAGCGUUGCACAGCAUCUAUGGAGGCAAAGGGUCCAAGGUGUGUCAGGGCCAAGUGCAUGACAGAUACGAGAUGCUAUGGCAUCUGUAAUAGAGCAGUUCUGCCUGCAAGCAUACCAGUGAGUGUCCAGUGUGGCAAGAAUAGAGUUUUUGAUGCGUGCUAUUACCAGCCAUUCAAAGUACUUCAUGACGAUUGGCUUCAGUGCCACUGGACAGUAGUCAUUCAUUUUGAAGGAGAAGAGUUCUUUGGUUAAGAGGAAAUAACGGCUGAUUUGAAGC